rnacentral:rRNA from 1 species
CUAGCUGUAAACGAUGGAUACUAGGCGUUGAGAGUAUCGACCCUCUCAGUGUCGUAGCUAACGCGUUAAGUAUCCCGCCUGGGGAGUACGCGCGCAAGCGUGAAACUCAAAGGAAUUGACGGGGGCCCGCACAAGCGGUGGAGUAUGUGGUUUAAUUCGAUGCAACGCGAAGGACCUUACCAGGGCUUGACAUGUCCGGAACCCUGCCCAAAGGCGGGGGUGCCUACGGGAACCGGAACACAGGUGGUGC